GAUGAAGAACGCAGUGAAAUGCGAUACGUAAUGUGAAUUGCAGAAUUCAGUGAAUCAUCGAAUCUUUGAACGCAUAUUGCGCUCUUUGGUAUUCCGAAGAGCAUGCUUGUUUGAGUAUCAGUAAACACCUCAAAGCUUUUGGAUUUUUUAAUCGAAAAGCUUUGGACUUGAGCAAUCCCAACACCAAUCUUUUUGAGAUCGGUGGCGGGUUGCUUGAAAUGCAGGUGCAGCUGGACAUUCUCCUGAGCUAAAAGCAUAUUCAUUUAGUCCCGUCAAACGGAUUAUUACUUUUGCUGCAGCUAACAUAAAGGGAGUUUGACCGUAUUGGCUGACUGAUGCAGGAUUUCACAAGGGUCGGCAACGAUUCUUGUUAAACUCGAUCUCAAAUCAAGUAAGACUACCCGCUGAACUUAAGCAUAUCAAUAAGCGGAGGA
rnacentral:misc_RNA from 1 species